AAUAAAUGCAGGGUGGGAACUUGGAUCUAUUCAUUGUAUGUUGAUUUAAAUAUGAGUAUGAGGCUGAAAGCAGCGGAGUUAUAAAUGAUUGACGUUUAGUAUGCAUCACUGUAUCAUUUUACUGGAAAUUGGAUUUAAAAAAAGAAUAUAUGCAUGGACGAAUCGUUCUAUAAGAUCAAUAUCAUACAUUUAGUAAAGAAAAACUUUGCAAAACCGAGCUGAACAUCUGUGCAGAAAGCCUUUGUGACAUGAACAUUCAUUGCAAUGCUCUCAGGUGUUACUGAAAGACACAGAAGACAGCAAGAAGACUCUGGAGGAGGAACUGCAGAAGACGGCUGAGAAGGCCACAGCCACAGUGGAGGAGAAUAAGUCUCUGAAGAGCAAGCUGCAAGUAGCAGAGGCUGUUCAGAGACAGACUAACAGUGCCGAGCAAGACUAUGAGGAGGUCAUUCAGCUCCUGGAGGCUGAAAUCAAAGAUCUGAAGAACCAACUCGCUGGAAAGAAACAGAGAGACCUGGAGGCUACCAAAGGAGGAUGUGAUGGAGCUGAACAGGAGGCUCAGCAUCAUUGACAGCCAGUUAAGAAGGUCUGAACUCACUCGGAAACAUCUGGAGAUAUCCAACAAGAAGCUGCUCGGCUUUGCACAGAAUGUCCACAAAGUUCUCACUAAUUCCAGCUUAUUUGGGAUUGAAAGUGGGUGCGCACAAGCGUCUCCAGUGACCGACAGCCCCGACACACCCUCCCCGAUCCCAGACCCCGCCUGCCAGCUCGCAGCUGAGGCCAAAGUGCUUGUAGAUGGUGUCUGCUCACUUUGCACUGAGGAUCACACAUUAGUGCAGUAUGUAGAGGGAGACGUGAAGGCUGAAGAGGACUGUGAUUCAGACCUCGUUCAGUGGCCACAGCCUCCUGUCCUCGGGGCUCCUGCAGUAGAGCGGAGAGGUCAGUAGAGCAUCUGGGAUGGACAGACAAACCGGGCUCAUCAAGGUCAAACUGCACCUAUACUGUGGAAAAUAAGAGACUGUGAAGAUUUGCAGUGUGGUUUGUACUCUUUCAAGCGGUUAUCAGACGCCUGAGCUCUACUGAUCAAAGUCAUACUCAUUUUUUAAAGCAGUCCGUGUACAUAUUAAACAUGUAGCAGUACUGAGUGUCAUUACAUAAAGGCAGAAACCAACCAAGGGAAUUACAAUCUGAAACACAGACAUCAGUUAACAGCAGAGGCGACUUUGAGAUGCUCAAAAGUGAUUUCAGCCGUGUCUUAUAACACUUAUAGCAGAUGAAGCAGUUACCACACACAGUUAAGAAGAUGAUCUCAUUCAGCCGGUAUAUU
rnacentral:lncRNA from 1 species